GGAAUACCUAGCCUGUGAUCAGUCCGAAUGAUUAAAUCCGUUCGUUUGCUGCUUCUUCUUUUUUCUUUUUUUUUUUUUUUUCUUUUAAGUACCAAUAUUCGUUCAUCGUGAGAUAAGAGAAGCGUGAGAUAAGGUAAACUAAAUCCGUCUUGUUCGGUCGUUUGAGAUCGGGUUGCGCGGGCCUCAGUCUUGCGGGUUUUCUACCGCCUCGUUGAGCCAGUCGUACCAAUGCAGCCCCAUCAUGAAGAGCUGCGAGAUCAGUCCCGGCUUCUCUGAAUGCUGGAAGUCUCCUCCAACAGACGCGAACACUGCACGAUCCGGACAUGCCUAAGAAUAUUCGACGUAUUAUAUAUCGAUUGAAAAUACAGAAGAUAAUUAGCAAUAAUUAACAAUAGCUAUAAUGGAUAAAUGUUUAUGGUUAAUAUAUUAUUUUGAUUAAUAUAUGGCUAUAUUAUUUAAUGUUAUGUUAUAAACAUAAACAUAAAAAAAAAAAAAAGAAAGAAAUAUAGAACGUAUGCGUUCGUUGAUAAGAUCUUGAUAAGAUCCGAUCGUACCCAUAUCUUCUCUUUUAACUUUGCAAUAUAUUUUUCAUUUUACACGUACGAUAUAAUACUGUAUUUAUUGUUAAGAAAUUAACUUGAUAAUAUAAAGAUCUUACCGUGACACUUGCAAAUACGUUUCAUUUUCGAACGGACAGCUCGCCUGCCUGCCUCGCUGUCGUGUUUCCUCAUAAGCUGACCGGCCAAUCCUUUGACACCAUGUAGAAUUCCUUCCUUAACUGAUUCCUCAGCACCGUCCGUCCAUUCUCUAGAGAACUUAUCACCAAAAUGUAUAUCCUAAAGGCAAACAGUAAGAUCCACGUAGACACGUAUUAUAUCAUACUUUGUGUAAGUAUAGAUAUAGACGGUAUUUAGUUUACAAAUCUUUGUUUAACGAUUGUUUAACUUUAAUCGAGUUUUAAUUAAUAAACCGAGCUGCGAGAAAA